ACGCACGCGCGAAGAAUUCAGCCCACACACCAUGCACCACAUCCCGAGCCCCGAUCCACCGCCGCCCCCCUGCUUCCAUCCGCCGCCGCCCCAUGCGUCCAGCGCUGGCCCCUCCACCCCCGCUGGCCCUCUUCCCCAGCGCGCCACCAGGCCCUCCCCCACCGCCAUCUUCCACGCGCCGCCGUCGCUAGCCCCCUGCCCAGCGCGCCGGGGGCCCUUCGCGUCCCAUCUCCGGCGACGAGCCGCCCCCGCUGGACCCCGAGCGCGGCCGCCCCUCCGACUAUGCCGAGUUCGUCAGUCCGUCAGUUCGCCGGUGGGCACCGCAAGUCAGGACCCCAUCUUCCACCCCGCCUCCCACCUCCCGGCCGCCGCGCGCCUCCCUUCCCCGGCCGCCGCGCGCCUCCCACCUCCCGGCCGUCGUGGGCCUCCCUUCCCCGGCCGCCGCGCGCCUCCCUUCCCCUGCCGCCGCGCACUGUCGACGGCGGUGCGCCUCAUUUCAUCGCUCUAUGGCUCGGUGCUCACCUCGACGGCGCCGCGGACGCAGUGGCGCUACUGCAUCGCCUCCUUCCCGUGCUUACAGGUUGGCCUCCUCCUUAGCCCCUUCUGCCCCGAGGAGGACAACAUCCAGCACAAACGGUUCACCGCCACUACCCCGGGCAGUUCACCAAUGUCACCCUCGGCCAUUCACCCCUGCUCCCGACUUCCCUUCCAUUCCUCAAUUCAAUGGAUUCCAAAAAGGAAAAAACUGUGGAUGGGUGAUGAAUCAACUUCCUGUACUGUUGUGCCAUGAGCAUUGGACGACCCCGACCACUGGCACCACUGCUUCCCGACCUCCUUCUUGCAUCGCCAUCUCCUGGUGGGGCUCUGCCGCCGGAGCACUCUGGCCGUUCACAGCCACCACUCCAGGCCGUUCAAUGCCACCACCCCAGGCCGUUCAUUGCCAGCAGCACCCUGGAUCCCACCCCACCCUGGGAGUUUUAGUUAUCGAGGUACGUCCAACGACAACGAGCAGGCGGCAAGUGUAUUGAUGAGCAGCGGGACGGUGGCAUGGAGCAGUUGAGUAGGUGUGCGUAGUUCAAGUUCACCAGUAUUUGUAAAUGCUGGUAGCAGUACUAGUAUUUACAAAUUUGUAACCUAAGAACUAAGCUUGCAUCUCGUUACUUCUAUGGAAGCACUGACCUCGUAAUAUUAUUGGACCAACCACUAACUUGAGAAUUAGACAUGGUGCUCAGUGUAUUCUCUCAAUCUUGGUUGUUCUUGCAGUGCUUAUAAGCUUGACAUCUUUGAUGAAUCCAGCCCAAACUGAAGCAUGUCGGUGAGCCGGGGGCUGGGCCAACCACUGUCGUUUGUCUACCUCCUUCCCCGAGAAGUUACCCUGUUGCGGGCUGACCUGGAGGCGGCUCCGACACAAUUGCAGGACCACCACGCAAGCUUCCUCAAGGAGCUCAUGCCCAACGAUACUAAAAGAAAAAACUGCUCCAGUUUUGAACUACUUAUUCAGUCAUGCUAUUACCGAGUGAAAAAUGGAGUGAAAGAGUAUUGCAAUUGAUCUCUCUUAGACCCUGUCAAUCCUCUAUCUAUCCUUUCUUUGCUUGUUUUUUGGUCUGUAAUUCAAGAACUUUGACCUUCGUAAUUCGGUUUUUGGUUAAUUUGUUAUGCCCAGUACAAACCAUUAAAUCUGAAGAGGCUUCUAAUAGCAAGAAAA